rnacentral:lncRNA from 1 species
UUUUUUUUAAAAAUUCUAUUUAAACUUAAAUUUAAUAAAAAUAAUUUGCUAUAAAAUUUAUUAAAAUAUUUAAAUAUAAAUAACAUGUAUUAAUAUAGUACAAUUAAUAAUUUUAUAAUAAAAAUAAUGUAAUAUAAUAUAUAACAUAUUAUAUGAUAUAAUUUAUUUUUAAUUCAAUUUAUAAUUUUAAUUAAGUUUGAAAUUAAGCAUUGAAAUAGCACUAUUCUGCUAAAAUGGUGGAAUAGUAAAUCUCAAGCUAUUUCGGAAUAAUUAGGAAUAGUAAGGUUUGACUGGGAUAAAAUAUUUUGAUAAAAAAUUAUUCCGUUUGACGGAAUAGCGGGAAUAACUUUUGUUAUCCCUGCUUAUUCUCUGAACCAAACGGGGCCAAGUGAAGGCACUCAUUCAUUAAGGCCAGCUGAUUCUAUAAAAAUAAAUAAAUAAAGAAGAAAUAGUAAAAAUAUGAAAAAGUUAAAAAAAGUUUAAAAUAGAAAAGAAUAAAAAAUAAAAAGAGGCCGAAGAAGAAAAAGCAACACAUGUUGUAAUAAAAGUAUAAAAAUAAAAAGAUAAGAAGGAUAAAAGAAAAAUAAAGAUAAAAUCAUAAGAUUUAGUAAAUUAUAUUUAAUUAUAGCAGUGAAGGUAUAAAAUAGUAAAGGUAUAUAAAAAGAAUAAAAGAAAAGGUUGAAACAGAACUAGUACGAGCAACGGCAAUUUAAAAUCACUAGAAAAUAGAAAACAAAACAAAAAUAACAACAACAGAAGAAGAAUAAGAAUAUAUUAAUAAAGUAAAAGGCGUAUUUGACUGUCUCAUUUUACGAUUCAUCUGUCACUUUUAUUUCUCAGACAACUACUGCAGAGAGAGAAAGAGAGAGAGAGGAAAAAGCCUCUUGAGUAGGAGUCAGGAAGCUUUUAUGAAUAUAGUGAUUGAUAAGCAUAUGAGAGUGAAAGACAAGGAAAGAGGCAAAAAAAUUCAAAACCAAAUUCAAAACUAUGUGAGAAAGAGAGAAAGAGGAAAAGAGAAAAUGGAUAAAUUCCACGAUCAAAAUGUGUAUACUACGUAUUAGAGUCAAACACCUGGCUAGGGGGAGGCAAUGGCUCAAAUUAUUGUACCCCUAUAUGUUUAAUAUUCAACGAUAAAAAAAUUAAUUAGGAACUUUCGAUCUCAAAGCUUUGGUGUAGUGUUUCCCGUAGGGGUGGCAAUUCAGCUCGCUGUUUUCAAGCCAGCUCGUGUUCGGCUCGAAAUGAGCUCGAGAUCGAAUCGCUCGUUCAGUAAACAAGCCGAACACGAGCUGAAUUUUUCGGCUCAUUUAAUAAACGAGCCGAACACGAGCUGUGGUC